UAUAAAUGUUUAUUCCAAUUAGAUUAGUAUAGAAUAAGUAAAACGACAAUUACACAAGCCUUAGCUGAAUUCUAAACGACCCUAACUAAACCCUAGACAAAUCCUAGUCAAACCCUAUUCGAAUCCUAAUCAAAUUCUAAAUAAGUCCUAACCAAAUCCUAGACAAAUCCUAAAUAAAUCCUAAUCAAAUCCUAAACAAACCAUAAUCAAAUCUUAAACAAUCCUAGUUAAACCUUAGACAAAUCUUAAAUUAGUCCUAACAAAAUCUUAGACAAAUCUUAGACAAAUCUUAA
rnacentral:lncRNA from 1 species